rnacentral:rRNA from 1 species
UUCUUGAAAAUUAAAAAAGUUGGCGGUGUUUUAGUCUAUCAGAGGAACCUGUUCUAUAAUUGAUAGUCCACGAUUUUAAUUACUUAUUUUUUUUUAAUUUACAUAUCGCUGUAGUUGAGUAUUUUUAAAGAAUUAAAUAUUCAAGAAUUUUUAUGAAAAUAAAUCAGGUCAAGGUGUAGUUUAUAGAUAAGUAGAAAUGGGUUACAAUAAAUUUAUUUAGACGGAUUAAAAUUUGUAAAAUUUUAUGAAGGUGGAUUUGAGAGUAAUUUUAAAUAAAUUUUUAAAAUGAUUUUAGCUCUAAAAUAUGUACAUAUCGCCCGUCGCUUUCAUUUUAAAAUGAAAUAAGUCGUAACAUAGUAGAUGUACUGGAAAGUGUAUCUAGUAACAAACUAAAGCUUAGAAAGUAUUUUAUUUACAUUAAAAAGAUUAUUGAAUUACAAUAUGGUUUGAAAAGAAAAAAUUAUUUAUUAUUGUAAAUUUUAUUUAUAUUAAAUAAAAUAAUAUUAGUUUUAUUAUUAUUUAAGAAAAAAUAUGUUUAAUUAUAGAUUAUUAGUAUUGAGAAAGAAUUUAUUUAUUUAUUUAAAAGAAAAGUUUAAUUUUUGUACCUGG